rnacentral:rRNA from 1 species
UGGGGAAUAUUGCACAAUGGGCGAAAGCCUGAUGCAGCGACGCCGCGUGCGGGAUGAAGGCCUUCGGGUUGUAAACCGCUUUUAAUUGGGAGCAAGCGAGAGUGAGUGUACCUUUUGAAUAAGCACCGGCUAACUACGUGCCAGCAGCCGCGGUAAUACGUAGGGUGCAAGCGUUAUCCGGAAUUAUUGGGCGUAAAGAGCUCGUAGGCGGUUUGUCACGCCUGGUGUGAAAGUCCAUCGCUUAACGGUGGAUCUGCGCCGGGUACGGGCAGGCUAGAGUGCAGUAGGGGAGAUUGGAAUUCCCGGUGUAACGGUGGAAUGUGUAGAUAUCGGGAAGAACACCAAUGGCGAAGGCAGAUCUCUGGGCUGUUACUGACGCUGAGGAGCGAAAGCAUGGGGAGCGAACAGGAUUAGAUACCCGUGGUAGUCCAUGCCGUAAACGGUGGAUGCUGGAUGUGGGACCCUUCCACGGGUUCCGUGUCGGAGCUAACGCGUUAAGCAUCCCGCCUGGGGAGUACGGCCGCAAGGCUAAAAC